rnacentral:rRNA from 1 species
UACGGAGGGGGCUAGCGUUGUUCGGAAUUACUGGGCGUAAAGCGCACGUAGGCGGCUUUGCAAGUCAGAGGUGAAAGCCCGGGGCUCAACCCCGGGAUUGCCUUUGAGACUGCAUCGCUAGAAUUGUGGAGAGGUAAGUGGAAUUCCGAGUGUAGAGGUGAAAUGCGUAGAUAUCGGGAGGAACACCUGUGGCGAAAGCGGCUCACUGGACCACAACUGACGCUGAGGCGCGAAAGCUAGGGGAGCAAACAGG